AAUCUUGCUUAAACCCUAAAACAAUCCCUCCUUUUUUACUCUGUCCUGUGAGUCCAGCACCGAGUCAACUCACUAAACCCGAGAACAGCCAUGGCGGACACGGUCCAACACAAGCUCGAACAGAUGGUCGACGAGCUAGACGACCUAGAACGUAAAGGCAUGUUCACACGGUGAGAAAUAGCAGAGAUAGUGAAACGAAGAAGAAAAAUUUGAGUACAGAUUGAAGAGGCCAAGUCCUUUAAAGCAAGAUUUCUUAGCUUACAUUGAAUACGUGACUCAACUUGACUCACUUCGUUGAUUAAGAGAGAAAUCAAUGGCGCGUGAGCUGAAAAAGCAAUGGGAUAAGAAGAAGAGGAGAAUAAAAAAGUAUGUUUCUGAUUUUGCUGGGGUUUCAAGGAUUGUUGAGAUUUAUAGACUUGCUGUUAUGAGGUUUAAGGGAGAUUUAGAGCUUUGGUUUAGGUAUUUGGAAUUUUGUAGGGAUAAAAGAACGGGAAAAAGGUUUUGGCUAAAUUAAUUAGGUUUCAUCCAAAAGUUCCUGGACUUUGGAUUUAUGCUGCAGCUUGGGAAUUUGAUCAUAACUUGAAUGUUUCAGCUGCUCGUGCACUCACGCAGAAUGGUUUGAGGGCGUGCCCACAUUCGAAGGAUCCUUGCGUAGAGUAUCUUUGGAUGGAAUUGAUGUACCUUAACAAGUUAAAAGCUCGAAAGGUUGCGCUUGGAGAGGAGAAGGAAAAUGUGGUUCAUGAUUAUGAUAUGUUGCUCGAUGAAGAAUUGAGGAAAUGAUGAUGGAUCAAAUGCUGGUACUGAGGAGUCGGAGAAGAAAGUCGAUUUGUUUCGUGAGAAAGGCUUGAGUAUUCUGCAGACAAUCUAUUCUAGAGCUGUUCAAGCUAUCCCUUCUAGUUUUGGCUUGAGGAAGAGGUUAUUGGAGAUGCUAGAAGCAACAGGCUUGAUCCAUUCGGAAGAAAUGCGCAAGGAGAUGCUGCUAAGUGACAUGAAAAGAGACUUUUUGAGAGAACCAGAAUAUUGGAACUGGCUUGCAAGACUCGAAAUGAUUCAUUCUAAAAAUAUCGGAGAUGACUGAAACUCUGGUGCUUUGUCAGUUGCAAAAAGCAUUUCAGGUAUAUGAGGAGGCUUUGCAAUUUGUGCCUUCUCCGAUGAUGUUUAAUUUUUACACACUAUUUUUUAUGGAUGUUGCUGUUCUU